rnacentral:lncRNA from 1 species
CUUUCCGUGGCCUCUCGGGGCUCUGAUCCUCCCUUUCGAGAGAAUCCUGCAUUCUAAAGGAUCUAGUCUGGAUGCCAGGAGCUGUGUAUAGGAUGAGAGCCUGGUGGACCUGAUUGACCGCCUGUUGUUCAGUUCAGUUCAGAGACUGAAAAUCAGGAUUUGUGCUGGAGAGUCUUUGAACUGUGUGUGAAAGUAUCUGAAGGUCCAUGACAAUUUGAAAGAAGGCAUAUGAAAAAGGUGCAGGAAUCGAAGGCACGAGAUACACCUGAAAGUGGUGGAGCAAUGAAUCUGAACAGGAUGAUGGAUUGAAAGUGCUCAAAAGAGGCAGCUAGGAUCCUGUAUUCAUGUCCUACCACUGCAGCCAGGGAAAGAUCCUCCCACAUCUAUCAGAAGACUGGAGGAUUAUGUCUGGAGAGAUUGAAUUCUAGGGAUGCUCAGGCCCAAAUGAAGGUUUGAGCACACAAUGAAAUGAGUUGAUAUUGACUGUUGGGAACCAGAGUUCUCAGUGGAUGAAGAGACACAGAAAAAUAAAAUGAAGGAAGGCAAAGAAGAUCUCUGAAGAGAUGGAUUGGAAUUGGAAGCAUUAGUAUGAACCAUGAUUCUAAAAUAGUUAUAUAUUGAUGUCUAUGCUUGUAUAUAUCCAGAAGUUUAUGUAUGUAUGUUUAAAUGUGUGUGUAAUAUAUAUGUAUACAUAUAUGUACACAUGUAUAUAUUUCCUAGCUUUGUCUACUGAAAGGGUCCACAAGCAAAAUCUUGUAGCGGAUCUUGGUCUCUAAGAUUGUUCCCUGUUAAAAAAAAAACAGGAUCCGUUGGAGAAAUUGCUGAUUCCAGUGCUGUAGCAGAAAAGGUAAUACAUGAUCCUAAAAUCAGUAGUCUCAUUCUGUUAGAUUACUGUGGGGUUCAGUAUGGUAGCCACUAGUCUCUUGUGCUAUUUAUUUAUUUAUUUUUAUUAUUAUGCUUUAAGUUCUAGGGUACAUGUGUACAGCAUGCAGGUUUGUUGCAUAUGUAUACAUCUGCCAUGUUGGUGUGCUGCACCCAUUAACUGGCAAUUUACAUUAGGUAAAUCUCCUAAUGCUAUCCCUGCUCCCUCCCCCAACCCCAUGUCAGGCCCCAGUAUGUGAUGAUCCUCAUCCUGUGUCCAAGUGUUUUCAUUGUUCAGUUCCCACCUGUGAGUGAGAACAUGCAGUGUUUGGUUUUCUAUCCUUGCGAUAGUUUGCUCAGAAUGAUGGUUUCUAAUUUCAUCCAUGUCCCUACAAAGGACAUGAACUCAUCCUUUUUUAUGGCUGCAUAGUAUUCCACGGUGUAUAUGUGCCACAUUUUC